UGGAAAUUACAUGUCGUGUGAAGAGCAGUUAGCACUUCCAGAUUGUGCAGGCUCUACUUUUCUGUGCAGUCAUUAGUAGAGUACAUUCAUGCACCAGCACUGUUUAUGCUGCAGUUCGUUCCCGUGUCACCUUGCCCUCCGUGGACGGAAGGCCGUGAGCGUCAUCCUGGGCCUCGUGGCUGCAGACAGGGCGACACCGAGCAGGUCCCGCACGGGGAGCUGAGGACGUGGCCACGGAAAUCUGAGUCCCCUCACUGAACAGCCAGAUCUGUCUGAGGAACAGCUAUUGCUAGAUGUAAUUAAUGCAAGGUAGCUGCUUGGCAGUGCAAAUUUAUCAGAGUAAACAGAUGUAAACGACACUGUUUGUCAUUUACCAGUCUUGAGGAGGAAAGUUUUAACCGCCAGAGGAUAAGAAAAUAAUCAGUAAAGAGAAUAUGUAGAGAAGCACAACGCAGUUUCAUCUGUUCCAGAUCCAAGAUUCUUUCCUGAAGUCCAGGGGAAAGUGCAUCCUUGUGACUGAAAUCCAAGGCUCAGGAGUUCGUAUCCUCACUGAAGCCCCACAGCAGAACUGAACUUCAGGAAAGAAGUCCUGGGCAUACCAGGUGUUUGCAGCAUUGAGGAGCUCCAGCCCAGCACACGCCAGAGACAGCCCAGAGCUGGAGGGGAGGUUUGAGAUGGUUCUGAAACUGGACGUACAAAGUGCCCACGGAUUCGUCUUCCUCUUCUCUCGUUUGACAGAAAGCACAGGCCCGGCCCCGAGUCUUUACACAUCUCCUUUCAAGUCUCAGCAGAAAUCAAGUCUGCAGCUCACAGGUGAUGAAAGGAGGGCCCUGCCAGUCAGAGGUGAGGUAACUUGCUCAGCCUAACAAAGCCUUCCCUGCUCCCCCCUGCAGAGUGUUUCCUGAGGGCCACUCACAUGGAAAUGACCUGAAUGGUUCCCCCCAGGUCCAGCAGCAGAGCUCUGCGGGAAGGGCAGGACUAACACAGCAGGUAUGAGCUGUGUCCUUGGGUGCCUCCUGGCCCAGCUCCAGAGCUCUGCACCGCAGAGUCCCCGGCUGUGGAGGCAGAGCUUGGGCUCCAGGGUCUCCAAAUAUUCCAGGUGUCACUGUUCUGCCAGUCCAGAGGGGAUGUGUUAAUCACACGGGAACAGAAUCAGGCCUAGGUUUUGUCUUUCAUGCACUUGAGGGAAGCCUGAAAAACAGUUUAGCUUUGUGAUGUAAUACCAAAGUAAUACCAAAAGGGAAGUAUUUAAAAUUUUAUUUUACAUUCAUGUCCAAUGUGACAUUUAAUAGUGGAGCUAAAUAAUUAUUCAUGCUAAAUGCUCCACAUGCUCUGACAAGAUGGUUUUUAAAACAUAGGGAUCAUUAUUUUUUUCCAAUGGAAGCAGAGCAGAUUUUAACUGCAGAGGAGCAGGCAGUGAAGCAAGGGCAUGUUGUAAUUAUUACUGAAUGUGAUAGAACAGAAAAUCAUUCGUGUCACUUGUGUCAGGGACUCUGCUGAGCCUGUGCCUUGUGGAGCACAGGGACCCCUGGCUGGGCUGCUAGAGCAUGUGUCCCAUGAUGGAAGAAGACAGGGCCUGUGCAGCCUCCGGCACAGGAACAUGAGCAUGCCUUUGUUUUGCUUUAAAACUUACUCUGUUCUCCUCAGAUGUACGGUGAAGUUACCAAAGUCACAUUUAAGUUUCACCAUUUUUACAGACAGUGUUUCCGGCUGAUGUGUCAGAAUUCCCAGCAGAUUCAUGGUUUACGUCCUAUUUUUUUACCACAAAGCUGCUCCUUUCCCAGCUUUCUCCCAGCACUCCAGCCCGAGCCAGGCAGGUGCAACGUGUUCCCUAAUGAACGAGCAGGUGGGGGGCACAGGGGCCCCGGGAGCCACUGCCUGGGCGGGCACAGUGAGGUGGGACACAGGGAUGGCACCGCUGCACAGCCCAGGUGGGACACAGGGAUGGCACCGCUGCACAGCCCAGGUGGGACACAGGGAUGGCAUCACCGCGCAGCCAGGGCACAGGGGAUGGCACUGCCGCACGCGACUGCCGGCGCGGCCACGUGUCAAGGGGAAAUUCCAGCCUUUUUCCCAUGUGGAGGGUAUGGUGGGUCCUGCAGCGAGAAGCCCGGGGCUGGGGCAGCGCUGCGCCGCCAGCCCGCCCUGCCCGCGGCGUUGCCGUAACCCUGCGGUGAGUCAGCCCAGCUGCCGGCACCGCGCUCACCCCGCGCCCUCGGGGCGGCACAGCCGGGACCCCGCUCCUCCCGCUACCUGCGGGCAGGGGAAGGCCCCGGGACCCCGCUCCUCCCGCUACCUGCGGGCAGGGGAAGGCCCCGGGACCCCGCUCCUCCCGCUACCUGCGGGCAAGGGAAGGCCCGGGGACCCCGCU